UACGAAGGGGGCUAGCGUUGCUCGGAAUCACUGGGCGUAAAGGGUGCGUAGGUGGAUAUUUAAGUCAGGGGUGAAAUCCUGGAGCUCAACUCCAGAACUGCCUUUGAUACUGGGUAUCUUGAGUUCGGGAGAGGUGAGUGGAACUGCGAGUGUAGAGGUGAAAUUCGUAGAUAUUCGCAAGAACACCAGUGGCGAAGGCGGCUCACUGGCCCGAUACUGACACUGAGGCACGAAAGCGUGGGGAGCAAACAGG
rnacentral:rRNA from 1 species